GGACGAACGCUGGCGGCGUGCCUAAUACAUGCAAGUCGAACGGUCUUUCUAUGGAAGCUUGCUCACUGAGAAGAUAGUGGCGAACGGGUGAGUAACACGUGGGUAACCUGCCCAUAAGAGGGGGAUAACAUCCGGAAACGGGUGCUAAUACCGCAUAGUUUUCUUGAUCGCAUGAUCGGGAAAGGAAAGACGGCCUUUGUGCUGUCGCUUAUGGAUGGACCCGCGGCGUAUUAGUUAGUUGGUGAGGUAACGGCUCACCAAGACGAUGAUACGUAGCCGACCUGAGAGGGUGAUCGGCCACAUUGGGACCGAGAGACGGCCCAAACUCCUACGGGAGGCAGCAGUAGGGAAUUUUCGGCAAUGGGGGAAACCCUGACCGAAGCAACGCCGCGUGAACGACGAAGUACUUCGGUAUGUAAAGUUCUUUUAAGAGGGAAGAAUGGCCCGUGGAAAAGCGGGCGUGACGGUACCUUUUGAAUAAGCCCCGGCUAACUAUGUGCCAGCCGCGGC
rnacentral:rRNA from 1 species